rnacentral:rRNA from 1 species
CGGGGAAUAUUGCACAAUGGGGGAAACCCUGAUGCAGCGACGCCGCGUGAACGAAGAAGGUAUUCGUAUCGUAAAGUUCUGUCCUAUGGGAAGAUAAUGACAGUACCAUAGAAGAAAGCUCCGGCUAAAUACGUGCCAGCAGCCGCGGUAAUACGUAUGGAGCGAGCGUUGUCCGGAAUUAUUGGGCGUAAAGGGUACGCAGGCGGUUUAAUAAGUCGAAUGUUAAAGAUCGGGGCUCAACCCCGUAAAGGCUUGGAAACUGGUAAACGUGAGUAGUGGUGAGGAAAGGGGAAUUCCCAGUGUAGUGGUGAAAUACGUUGAUGUUAGGAGGAAUACCAGUAGCGAAGGCGGCUUUCUGGACACAAACUGACGCUGAGGUACGAAAGCGUGGGGAGCAAACAGG